UACGGGGGGUGCGAGCGUUGUCCGGAAUCACUGGGCGUAAAGGGCGCGUAGGCGGCGUUUUAAGUCGGGGGUGAAAGCCUGUGGCUCAACCACAGAAUGGCCUUCGAUACUGGGACGCUUGAGUAUGGUAGAGGUUGGUGGAACUGCGAGUGUAGAGGUGAAAUUCGUAGAUAUUCGCAAGAACACCGGUGGCGAAGGCGGCCAACUGGACCAUUACUGACGCUGAGGCGCGAAAGCGUGGGGAGCAAACAGG
rnacentral:rRNA from 1 species